AUAUAUAUAUAUAUAUAUAUAUAUAUAUAUAUAUAUAUAUAAUUUUUUGGUUUCCCUUUUCUUUUCUUCCAAAGUUAUUAUGUCUGAUUUAUAGCCUUGCUUUCGUCUUUUGAAAUUCUAAAAUGGAGUUUGCAAAACUUCUGCAGGUACUAAACCUGGAGAAUAUGGACAAAACCAGGCAUUGGAAAAUCGUGGGCUGUAGCGCAUACACAGGGAAGGGGCUGCUUGAGGAAUUUGAUUGGUUGGUUCAGGACAUGAUGAUACCUUAGGAUCUAGUCAACAUUAAGCAAUAGAGUUAGGGUUUUUUUUAUUGGCCCUCUCAGAGAACUGAUUAAGGUCCAUUUGUACUGUUUUAUUAACUAUCUUAUUGUUGUGGAAUUUAGUCAAGCUGUGAAUUCGACAAAAAAAAAAAAAGUCAAGCUGUGAAACUUUUUGGGUCAAUAGUAUGGGAAGUUUGGGUCAAUAUUAGUGACUAAUCAGCCAUAAAAGCAAAUUAAAUAACAAAUAUUUUUUUGAUUUUACUAUUAAUUUGCAAUGAAAUAACGACCAAAUGCUCUUUUCUGAGGUGAUCAAAUAAUAAUGAAAUAGCGAUCAAAACAGUGAUUAUUUCGCGAUUAAAAUUUAGCGACUAAAAAAUGGUCGCUGAUUGGUCGCUAUUUUGUAAUACUUAAUUUGUUAUGACACUAAAUUAGCGACCAAAAAAUGGUCGCUAUUUUGUAAUACUUAAUUUGCCAUAACACCAAAUUAGCGACCAAAAAAUGGUCGCUGAUUGGUCGCUAUUUUAGCGACUAAUUUUCAGAUUGUCGCCAAAAUUUUAGCGACUGGCCAAACAACGACCAUUUCAUUUUGGUCGCUAAAUGGUCGCUAUUUCAUAAUAGCGACCAAAUUCUUCCUUUUAGCGACCAAAAUUUUGGUCGCUAAAUCACUAUUUUUUUGUAGUGAUCUAGUAAUGGUCAUGUAAGCGAUCUAUAUCCCUCUCAGUCAGUAUGGACGGGAUGUCACUCACUAGGAGAUUAUCAAUAUCAUGAACUGCCCUUAACGAAAUUAUAGGAGUUGGAGCAUGGAUAAGGCCGUUAGAGGAAGAGCCGGAGAUUAAACUUCCACCAGGAAAAGGGAAAGAAGAUGAAAAAGACCUAUUCAACUUUAAAAUAUGAAAAAAAAGCAGAAGUAGGAGUUACCUUUAGAAAGUGUAAGAGACUGAUAGUACGAGUCUUUUUAGAGCAAAAGAAAGCGAUUGAGAGCAGAAGUGGUGAUCAUAGAAGAAAGGGAGAUUUUAUACUAUUAUUUCGAUGGCUGGUCUAAAUAUAGCUCGAGAAGCAAGGCAAAGUGGCAUUUAUGAUUAGUACAAGCGAAGAGAUAUGGGUGCGGAGAAUCAAUUCAUACAUGCCACGUGUCCAAGACUAUGAGAACAACUAUAAUCCUCAAAUAUACCAUGAGCUGUCACCAUACGAUAGAGUCACAUGGCAAGACCUUAAUAAACUAUGAUACUCGAUCACACGAUUCUCACCUAUAGGAAAGAAGACCUGAUUAUCAUAAUAGUCAAUACUCAGAAUGACAAAAGACUCACCCUCUUAUGAAUCGAUCAAACUUUCAUGACAUAUAAGUUACCGUCAAAGGCUAGUGUCCACAGAUCCUCAUUACGCCUAUAGUCGCGGGAUCUCUUAUCCACUAGCCGGUAUCAAUCGGAUUUCCAAAAGAUUCACCAACUAACUCCAUCUUCUUAUAGUAUAAAAGAAAUGUAUACACAUAAUUCAAGGUACACAUUCUUACACAUUCUUACACACUCUUUUUAAACGCAAGCAAUCUAUUUACACACCCUUUCUGAUAAUUUAUUGAUUUGAGCGUUGGAGUGGCCACCCAUAAGUGCCAACCACCUCACUUUCUUUCUUUUACAAAGUAACCAAUUAUUUUCAAUUUCUUUUUAGCCACAUCAAGAAUCAUUUAAAAUAAUCAUAUUUAUAUUUAUUAUAAAUUACCUUUAUUUUGAUUAAUUAAAAAAUAAUAAAUAAAUUUACUCGUAUAUAAAAUUUUUAAUUUAAAGCUAUUUAUAAAAUAAAAUAAGAUUUAUGAAUUGUAAAAUUUGUAAUCUAUAGAUUAAAUUACAUCAAUCUCAUCUUAAAAUCAGAUAACUCAAUCCCUAUAUUUAUAUUGAUAAAUUAAUCAUUAAACUAAUUAGUAUACUCUUUAAAAUCUAGAACGUUUUAAUGUACUUUUAAAAUUAAUAAAUUAAUCAAUUAGAUUCUAUAUAUCACAUGAAUUAAAUAGUAUUUUUUUAUUUUUCAUUUAAAAAAUUAGAGUUUAACUUUUUGAAAUAUUAAUUUUUAAAAUAAAAAUUAUUAAUGAGAAAAUACUUUUAUAUGGAUUGUUAUUAUUUUUUUUUUAAAUUAAAACAUCGUUAAGUAUUAACAAGGUGUAAGAAUAUCCGCCCAACUCAUUUAAAAUAGCUUUACAUUAAUUUACAAUUAAAGCAAAAUAAGAACUAGAAGAGUACAAUUCAGUCAUGGCAUGAUACAAAGUGAGAGAAUCCGUUUUCAUGAUUAAUCCAGAGAAAUUAUGGCGUUUAAGCCAAUUAAAGAGCCACAAAGUAAGAGCUUUAACUAAAUCUACAUCUAAAAGUCAUGAGCCAGACUAUUGACUACCACUUAAAAAAUGACAUGUGGCAUCUCGAAGUACCCUACCCAAAUCAAUUCUUCGCCCAUUAACAAUCACAGAUGCAUCAAUAUUACAUUUUUAACAUAGGUGUAGAGGAACAAGUCCAACGCACUGGAUGUGAGAAAUACAUAAAUUAAAUGGACCAAAAUAUUACUAUAAUCAGUUUGAAAUAAUUUUUGACAAUUUAAAAUAAAUUUUAAUUGAAUUUGAGGCCUAAUUAAAUAUUAACAAUAUUUAUUGAGACUUAAUUAUAUAGAGCCAUUUUCGCCACUAUACAACUCGUUUUCAUUUCUAACUAUUGAGUUUAAUUUUAAGAUUUCAGAUGACAAAAAAAUCUUAAGGAAUUUCUUGGCAGCUUAUUAUGGUGAUAGCCCAUUCUAAUCUUGACCUUUGCAGGGAUGAUCUCCUUUGAUUAAAAAGAAAUAUUAAAUAAUCCAUUUUAAGCCUUGUUAAUACCAUUUUUGGAGAAAUUUAGGGAGAGCAAAAAGAAUACAGUAGAAAAAAACUUUAAGAAAAAAAAGUUAUUGGAAAAAAGUUUUUAAAAAUUUAUAAUUCAUAUUUAUAUCUAAAAUCUUAAAAUUUUAGAUAAUAAUACCAGAUCUUUUAAAUUUAUCAUAAUUAUAAUUAAAAUGACUAAAUUAAAUAUGAAAAAAUUAAUGGUAAACAUAAUGUCUAAAAUUUUUAUAUUAAUAAAAUAUAUAAUCAUUUAUUUUAAAUUUUAUAUUAAAAGUAAAUAUAUUUUAUAUUUAUUGUUAUAUAUUAUAUAUAAUAAAUAUUUAUUAUAAAUAAAUUUACGUUACAUAAAAUAUCACAUAUAUAUUAUAUAUUAAAGUAUUUUAUUAAAUAUUUAUACUCAAUAUUAUAAAUUAUAUGUAUAUUUUUCAUAAGUAAAAAUUUUUAAUUUAUAUCAAUAAUAUUAAAUAAAAUAAAAUAUUAUAUAUUUUUAUUUAUAAAACUUUAUUUUUUUAUAUAUUUUAUUUUAUAUAUUUUAUUUUUUAUAUUUUAUUUUUUAUUAAUUUAUAAUAUAUAUAUAUAUAUAUAUAUAAUAGGAGUAUAAAUAAACUAAAUUAUUGGAACUUGGCCUAUUUUUAUUUAAUUAGAUGGUGUGUAGAACACAAGCAGCAGCUAGUUUAAGUAAGGUGCAAGUAAGAAUCAAUAAAGUGUAAAUAAGAAUCGAUUAACUUAGAGCGAGGAGCAAGUCAGGUAGUUACACCCUGUAGCCAACAUGAGAUGGAAGUUGAAACAAAAGCACAACUACUUAUUUCUUCACUAAGCGAGUUAUUUUAUUUUUAAUAAAUGAAUAAGGCUGCUGAAAGUGAAGAACAUACAUAACCUUUUCCACUUAUCUAAAGACAUCGCCAUGAAGAAUCCCCAAAGUAGAAUACUUAUCCUUCGUGUUUACAAAAGGCAUAUUACUCUUUGCCACCGAUUCUUUUUUGUUUAUAAAUAGACGUGAUGAGGUUCCACAACACAACUCUCCAAUCCGGCACAAACCAUGAUUCUCUCAAAUAGAGAUCCAGCCGGCAACAUUCUUUAGUCUAAGGUUCAAAGUUUCAAUUUCAAUGUUCAUCAUUUCAAUUUCGUUGAUCAGUAAACAACUUUAUUUCAUUUCUAGUUUUCAAUUUAAGUCUUGCUCAAUUCAAUUUCAAGCUUCGGUCAUUUCAAUUUCAAAUUUAGUUUAAUUUCAAAAUUAGUUCAAUUUUUAUUUAUUUUUUUUAUUGGGAUUAAAAAUUGGGUGAGUAGAAUUUAAAACCCCUCAUAUUUACUCAGAUCUACUUAUCACCAGGUUAAACAUGUGAGUACCAAUUUUCAUUUCAUUUUAUAUUCCAAAAUUUAAUCCCGCUCUACAUUAAUUUACAUUUAACAAUCUAGUUUACAGUUACAUUAUUUUUCACACUAAUUUCAAUUACUAUUCCAAAGUUCAGUAAUUCUCUAUUAAUUUUUCUAAUUGCAUGCAAUAUUUUCCUACAUAAUUUUUUCUUGUAAUUUCAAUCUAACAAUUUAGGACCCAACCAUUUAUAAUUCCUAGAAUAGUUAUAGAACUUAUUUACAACCGACACAUGCCAGUAGAUUCAAGGUGAUUGAGGGAAAAUUUGAAUCUAUAUUUCCCAAUGAAUUAAAUUGAUACAAAUUCUGAUAUGCUUAAUUCAACAAGAAAUCAAUUUAAUACAAUAACAAUUACUUUAACCAACUAUUCGUCUUAAUGCUUAUAAAGAUGCUAAAAAUUGAUAGUCAUUGAUGCUGCUUGUGAUCUCCUUCGCAAGUAAGGAUUUGCAAAAAGAAAAGAAAAAGGUUUCUCGCUCAUCAGGUGUGGGCAAGUCCUUUGAUACUUAAAUUAUUAAUGACAUGUGUGAAAUAAAAAUAGAAUGAGUUAUAAUUAGAAAACAUAUCUGAAUGCUUAUUUGUCACACUCAAUUCCUAAUUUACAAAGAGGGAUGCGACAGGAUACACGAUAGUGUUUCUUAUGAAAAAAUGACAUAAUAACCUGUUGAAUUUUAGAAAAAAUAGAUAUAUGUGAAAAAUUAUUUCAUGUCAAAUAUUCAUAAUUUUUUCAUAAAUAAAUUUUUAUUCUUUUUGUAUGGAUAAAAAAUAAUAUACAUUUACUGCUCAAAAAAAUGUUACUAGCAAUCUAGGAUAGUAUAAAUGUAUAGACAUUCCUCCCAAAUUAAUUAAAAUUUAUAAAAUAAAUUCUAGUUGUCUCGACCUCCAUUAGACUAUGAAGUUAGUGAAGUGGAUGUAAGGCCAAACUAAAAAAUAAGACUGCUAGACUGGAUCAUUAAAAAGAAUAUGAACUAUUAGAAUCUGAGGAGUGAGUACAAUAUUUCAAUGAGCGGAUAAAUAAAUAGUAAAAGGAGAAUAGAUAAAAUUUUGGUGCUUAAUAGUAUCACAUAAUAUGCUAAAAUAAGUCAGUGAGAUAAAUAUAAUCAUUUUAAAUAAUACUGUCAAGCUGAAAUAUAAUAUGUCGAAAUCAUUUAUUUAAUAAUAUAAAAAAAUUUUAUGUCGAAAUCAUUUAUUCAAUAAUAUAAAAAAAUUUAUAAAGGUUUUGAUACACUCAUAACAUGCCUCUUGCAGAUAAUGCUGGCAUCAUUUAUUCAAUAAUAUAAAAAAAUUUAUAAAGGUUUUGAUACACUCAUAACAUGCCUCUUGCAGAUAAUGCUGGCAUCAUUUAUUCAAUAAUAUAAAAAAAUUUAUAAAGGUUUUGAUACACUCAUAACAUGCCUCUUGCAGAUAAUGCUGGCAUCUCAAGUGCAAUAAAUAAAACUACUGGCAGCCUGAGAUUAAUGUUGAUAUCUUGGACUCUAUGAUGAUAAUAUUAGCCCAAAAGCAAAUAAAAUUAUGUUGGUCAUGCACCUGUGCAGAGAUACUCCAAAAGGCGACCAUCCAACGUCCUAAAAACUAUAUCUAUAUCAAGUGUUGUCCUAGAGAUAGUAUAAAUAUAAGCUAAACUAAGAAUGAAUCACCUGUCAUAAGGUGUUAUCUAAUCGAUACAUAUACAAAAUGUAGUAAGCUAUUUGUUCAGUUGUAAUAUAAAUUUAUUUUCAUUUAUUUGAAAAGCAUAAAUUUACCAUCAUCCAUUUUCAUUUUUCUAAAAUAAAGUAUCUCAUAUAGAUAUACAUUUAAUAAAACAGCAGUGUAAUACCCGGCUAGACUCCGGUAUCGGAAUUCCUACCGUCCGGUGGAAUUUCGGAUGUCGGGAACUUCUAGAAGGGUAAAGACAUGUUUUAUAAAAUGUUUUCAUGAAUUUUAAUGGUUUUAAAGUAUGAAACUAAAUGAGUUUUUGCAUGAAAAGUCCUUGGAGGAAAACUCAGGUUCGGCCGCCGAAAGUCAAGUUCGGCCGCCGAACAUGCAUGCGUUUUGGAGGCACGUUAGGCCCCCGAAAGCAUGAGUUAGGGAAGUCCAGUUUCGGCCGCCGAAGGUCAAGUUCGGCCGCCGAACAUUUCAUGCAUGCGGAGGCAAGUUCGGCCCCCGAACGUGGCCUGGCCAGCNNNNNNNNNNNNNNNNNNNNNNNNNNNNNNNNNNNNNNNNNNNNNNNNNNNNNNNNNNNNNNNNNNNNNNNNNNNNNNNNNNNNNNNNNNNNNNNNNNNNNNNNNNNNNNNNNNNNNNNNNNNNNNNNNNNNNNNNNNNNNNNNNNNNNNNNNNNNNNNNNNNNNNNNNNNNNNNNNNNNNNNNNNNNNNNNNNNNNNNNNNNNNNNNNNNNNNNNNNNNNNNNNNNNNNNNNNNNNNNNNNNNNNNNNNNNNNNNNNNNNNNNNNNNNNNNNNNNNNNNNNNNNNNNNNNNNNNNNNNNNNNNNNNNNNNNNNNNNNNNNNNNNNNNNNNNNNNNNNNNNNNNNNNNNNNNNNNNNNNNNNNNNNNNNNNNNNNNNNNNNNNNNNNNNNNNNNNNNNNNNNNNNNNNNNNNNNNNNNNNNNNNNNNNNNNNNNNNNNNNNNNNNNNNNNNNNNNNNNNNNNNNNNNNNNNNNNNNNNNNNNNNNNNNNNNNNNNNNNNNNNNNNNNNNNNNNNNNNNNNNNNNNNNNNNNNNNNNNNNNNNNNNNNNNNNNNNNNNNNNNNNNNNNNNNNNNNNNNNNNNNNNNNNNNNNNNNNNNNNNNNNNNNNNNNNNNNNNNNNNNNNNNNNNNNNNNNNNNNNNNNNNNNNNNNNNNNNNNNNNNNNNNNNNNNNNNNNNNNNNNNNNNNNNNNNNNNNNNNNNNNNNNNNNNNNNNNNNNNNNNNNNNNNNNNNNNNNNNNNNNNNNNNNNNNNNNNNNNNNNNNNNNNNNNNNNNNNNNNNNNNNNNNNNNNNNNNNNNNNNNNNNNNNNNNNNNNNNNNNNNNNNNNNNNNNNNNNNNNNNNNNNNNNNNNNNNNNNNNNNNNNNNNNNNNNNNNNNNNNNNNNNNNNNNNNNNNNNNNNNNNNNNNNNNNNNNNNNNNNNNNNNNNNNNNNNNNNNNNNNNNNNNNNNNNNNNNNNNNNNNNNNNNNNNNNNNNNNNNNNNNNNNNNNNNNNNNNNNNNNNNNNNNNNNNNNNNNNNNNNNNNNNNNNNNNNNNNNNNNNNNNNNNNNNNNNNNNNNNNNNNNNNNNNNNNNNNNNNNNNNNNNNNNNNNNNNNNNNNNNNNNNNNNNNNNNNNNNNNNNNNNNNNNNNNNNNNNNNNNNNNNNNNNNNNNNNNNNNNNNNNNNNNNNNNNNNNNNNNNNNNNNNNNNNNNNNNNNNNNNNNNNNNNNNNNNNNNNNNNNNNNNNNNNNNNNNNNNNNNNCCGGGCAAUAACUCCGAGUACGAAGUCCUGUGGUGCCCAUAAUAGGGCCGGGCAAUACGAAGUCCUGUGGUGCCCAUAAUAGGGCCGGGCAUGGAGUUGAGGGAUUUUUGAAUCAGUCCAUCCGUGAUGUGAUUUAUUUGUGCAGUGACGCAUUUCAUGAUAGCAUGUUUUAAAUAUUCUUUUUACAGUUCUACUCACUGGGCAUCUAGCUCACCCCUCUCCCCUAACCCCCAGGUUUGCAGGUACGGGAUAGAUAGAGAAGGCAAGACAAGAAAGAGUCAUAUGUAUGUAAUAGUUAGUUUGUGGACAUGACAAUUGUAUUAUGAUGAUAUGUAAAAGAUUUCAGUAUGUAUGUAAUGAGGUUAUUGAGGAUAGAGUUGUGCUUGACCAUAAUGUAUAGUUAAUCCCUUUUGUAUAUACAUGAUCUUAUGUUAUGAUGUUUAUGUAAACUAACUCAACACAGGUUGUUUUGCCUUUAAGGCUUGAUGAGAUCCCAUAGAGGGAUUAUGUUAUGUAUAUGUUCAGAGUAUGCACAGGUUGAGUUAGUUGAAUGAUAGCAUGUAUGAAGAAAAGUUUAAAUUUUUAUGCAUGUUGUUGAUCAUGUAUGGGAUUAUACAGGUUUACAGGUUUUAUGUCAGGCUUGCUACGGGUCCCGGCGGCCUUAAGUCGACCCGGAUCCUAGCGCCGGUAGCGGUCCGGAUUUCCGGGGCGUUACAAGCAGUGUUAUAAAUUUAUCUACUCACCUGUACUAAAGUCAGAACAAAGUCUAAGUAGCCGGAGCAUCUAGAGCAAGAGUUGGAUCCUCUCCUAAAAUUAAAUAUAAUGCAUCAAGAACAGAAAUUUAAAUCCUAUAAUGCAAAUGUGAAAUGUGAAAUGCAUGAUUAAUUUUCAAAAAUUCUAAUAAAAAUUCGACAGCAUUCUAGCAUAAACUAGAUUUUUGCCUAAAUUUUCACAUGCUCAGCCAACUCAACAACACUCAAUAUUCAUCACAAAUAAUUUAAAAUGCCCAUUUGGAGUCUUCAACUACAUAUUCAUAAAAAUUUCACCAUUCUCCAUUUAUCUCUACUCUUUUAUUCUAACCAUAUAUUUCAUUUCCUUCAAUAUAUCCCCUUAAGUUCUUUCCAACAUUAAAUUCCAACUUUUCUAAUAUUAAAAUAUAACCCAAUAAUUAUUAUAGAUCUAAGAUUACUCAAUAUAUUUUUUUUCUAAGAAAAUAAACCUCAAAUCCAUAAUACAUUGGAAAAUCUUCCUUUCAAUAUCUUCCUCUUACAAAAAUUAGGGACCUAUUAUAACAAAAAUAACUCAUUGAAUAAAACCACUAAACAAAGAAUAAUAAACUCAUAAAUCAAUAUUUAACUCUCCAUAAUCUCAAAUCAUAAAAAUCACCAUGUAAUAUGCUAAGGAGACACAUAAAGCUUAAGAAAUUUACAAAGAAAAUGAGAAAUUACCUAUUAAAACUUAAUGCCCAAGAGAGAGAAAAGUGGGUUUUAGGUUAGAGUAUUUGAUUGAGAGAAACUAAAACAAAAUUUGAUUUGGGGCUUUGGUUUAAAUUAAAGGAUUAAAAUGAAAAAUGGAGAGGAGUUGAAGGAUUAAGAAAAGAAAUUUAUUUUUUUUUAAUCAGUAAAUGGGGAGGGGGGAGAGCUCUUUCGGGACUCUCCCGAAACCAGAGCAAAACGAGGAUUUUAAAUUCGCUUUACUUUUUUUCUUUUACUGGUCAGCUCCACACUUUUUUUUUUUUUGUCUUAUUUAGGGUUUUAUAAUUCUCUCCCCUUAAAAAAAAAAUUCGUCCUUGAAAUUUAUAUACCUGGUGGAGCAAACAAGUGUGGAAAUUGAAGCUGCAUAUCCUCCUCUCACUCACAAGUAACUUCUCUACUAGAGUGAUUGCUCCAACGAACUUUAAUUAGAGGAAUCACCUUGCUUCUUAAAACUUUGUCUUCUCUAGCUAUAAUCUCCACUGGUUCUUCGUCAUACAUUAAAUCUUCUCUCAGCUCAAUUGGUUGAUUCUUAAAAACAUGAGAAGGAUCACUUCUAUACCUCCUCAACAUGGACACAUGAAAAACAUUAUGAAUCUGUGAUAACUCUAGAGGUAAAGCUAAACGAUAAGCAACUACUCCAAUCCUUUCUAAUAUUUCAUAAGGCCCAAUAAACCGAGGACUCAACUUUCCACGCUUACCAAACCGUACAACCCCUUUCCAUAGAGAGAUCCUAAAAAAUACCUUGUCACCGACACUGUAUUCAAUCUCACUUCUUUUCAAAUCUUCAUCACUCUUUUUUCUGUCUUGUGCUACUUUUAGUCUACUCAUGAUUAUCUGAAUUUUAUUUGUAAUAUAUUACACCAUUUUUGGACCCUCUAGCUUUCUUUCUCCUGCUCAAACCAACACAUUAGCGUUAUGUAUCUUCUCCUAUAUAAGAAUUCAUAAGGAGCUAUGCCAAUAUUAGCAUAAUAACUAUUAUUGUAAGAGAACUCCAUUAAUUACACAUACUUAUCCCAACUUCUCUUGAAUUUCAUCACACAUGCUCUAUGCAUAUCCUUCAAAGUCUGGAUAGUUCUUUCUAACUGACCAUCUGUUUGAGGGUGAAAUGAAGUACUAAACUUUAACUUUGUACCUAAAGCAUUUUGUAAGCCAGGUCAAAACUACGAUGUGAACAUUGGAUCUCUAUCUGAAAUAAUAGGGACUGGGACAUCAUAGAGUCUUACAAUCUCAUUGACAUAGAUCUUUGCCAAUUUAUCUAGAGAGUAGUCCAUCCUAAUAGGAAAAAAGUGUGAUGAUUUGGUUAAUCUGUCAACUAUUAACCCACACUACAGCAUGUCCGCGUGAAGUACGAGGCAAACCACAAACAAAGUCCAUAGUAAUGUGCUUCCACUUCCAUUCUGGAAUGGGGAGUGGUUGCAGCUUCCCUAUUGGAUGUUGAUAUUGUGCUUUAAUUUGUUGGCAUACCAAAUAGGUUAAUAUAAAAUCAACUAUCUCUUUCUUUAUACCUGGCCACCAAUAAUUUUCAUUAGGAUCUUUAUAUAUCUUAGUGUUACUAGGAUGCAUAGAGUAUGCAAAACAAUAAACUUCUUCCAUGAUCUCUCUCCUCAAGCUUUCAACUGCAGGUACACAUAAUAUAUCACCAAACAUUAAGGUUCCAUCCUCCUUUAGCAAAAAGUCAAUAUGAGUUCCCUUUCUCACUUCAUCACUAAUCUUACUUAACUCUUCAUCUUGGUUUUGUGCUUCUCUAACCCUUUCCACUAAAAUUGGUCUAAAUUUUAGAGUUGCAAACAAUGCCUCUAAACCAUAUACUGCUAACUAUACUCUUAAGGAUCUAAUCUCCAGUAAUAAUGGAAGUUGAACUGUCUUGAAAUGAGUUAUAUUACUAAAAGAAUUAUGACUAAGGGCAUUAGCUACCACAUUAGCCUUGCAUGGAUUAUAUUCAAUGAUACAGUCAUAGUCCUUUAGCAAUUCAAUCCAUUGCCUUUGCCUCAUAUUCAACUCUUUUUGUGUGAGAAAAUACUUCAAACUCUUAUGGUAUGUAAAAAUCUGACAAGUCUCACAGUAAAGGUAAUGCCUCCAUGACUUUAAAGCAAACACCACUACAACUAACUCUAGAUCAUGGGUAGGGUAAUUUAGUUCAUGUGGUCUAAGUUGUCUAGAAGCAUAAGCUAUCACCUUCCUAUGUUGCAUUAAAAUAUAGCCUAAACCCUUGCGGGAAGCAUCACUAUACGCAAUAAACCCACCUACACCUGAAGGUAGAGUAAGGACUGGAGCUAAGGUGAGACAAGUCUUAGGCUUCUCAAAACUCUCUUGGCAUUCAUUUGCCCAUUCAAAACUUUGCAUUCUUCCUAAGCAGUUUAGUCAAUGGUGCUACAAUAAUGGAGAAAUCUUAGACAAAGCGGCGAUAGUUGAUAGAGCAUAAUUUAGACCAUUUUAUCAUGAUGAUAUUGAUGUUAAUUUAUACUUUUUCUCCCUAAUUUUUUAUUUUAAUCUUAUUCUGCAGAAAAUGGUGUAAAGAGAUAAUUUGGUGAAAAUGCCCCUAAAACUGCCUAAAAUGGAGCAAAGGAAAGCAAGCAUGCCAAGUGCAACUUGAAAGGAGCCAAAUAAGGAAAGUAAUUUGAAAUUCAGAUUAAAAUUUUUAAGAGAAUUCAAAAUUCAAAAUCAAGAUUCAGCUCAUUAAGGAAAGUGCUAAACAAGGAAAGUUGCAAACAAGGAAAGUUGCAAACAAGGAAAGUGCAGAGCAGUUUGAAAUUCAAAUCUUCAAGAAUCCAUUUUCCUUAUUUAAGAAGCCAAAUCUUUAAAAGAUGUACAUUCAAAUUUGAAAUUCAAAUUCAGCUUGUCAAAGAAGCCAAAGAAGACACACAUGCCACCUCAAGUCUUGCACAUUCAAAAUUCAAAAUUCAAAAGGAGGCUCCACCUCAUUAAUGCAAGGAUAUGGGUGGCAUGGGCAGCCUCUUGGCCAGCAACUUAACAACUUAGACAGCAAGUAAGGACCUAGGGCAACACUUUCAACUAUAAAAAGACACAUAAGGAGCCUCCCCAUGCUUUUUCUACUCUCCCUUGGACACACAUACGGGAUUGCAAGUGGCACAAUCUCUUCUUCUUCCUUUCUUUUAUUUUCUUAUUUUGUUUCAGCCAUGAGUGGCUGAAACCUUUUAUUCUAGUUGAAGAUUAGGUGAUACUUUGGUUGUUUUAUGGAUUGUGAGAUCUGAACAUAAGUUGUUUAUCUUUUGGUUAUUCAAUAUUUAUACAAUUUCAUGCUUGAUUCCAUUAUUGCUUUGUUAUUAUGAUCAAUGUGGCCACUUGAUUCUUGAUUGCAAGGUAAUAUAUUGUUAGUUUGAAUAAUUUUGAGUCUGUAAUUGCUUAGAUUGUUCAAACAUAAGAACACUUGGUGUAAAAACUAAGGAAGUUGCAUAAUCUAGCAAUAUCACCAUGCGUUUGGAUAGCUAGGAUUAAAUCUCUCUAUUUCUUAAUGCAAUUGACAGUUGUUUUGAUGCCUAAGGCCCAAGGACGUUCCUUGGCAACUUGUUGAUUAGUGAUUAAUUAGAGGACGUUCCCUAAUUGGUUUAUGAUUAAGGAGAGAUAUGGUGGUGAGAAGCGUCUUCCAUCUCCAUAACUAAUCUAUUGAAUCAAUCAAGGGAAACUAACUGUCAAUGAUCAAUCCCAACAACUGAAGUGGAUCCAAUUCUUCAACUAGAUCCUUCUCAUUAUUGAAAUCUCUUUAUUUUUAUUAUUCGCUUUCCUUUAUUGCUUUCAGCAUUAGAUCAAUUCAAUCAAUCUCAAACCCCCAUUUUUUACUUUUAUUGCACUUUAUUUUUAUUUUGCUUUCAGUUACUUUGCUUUCAGUUUACUUUCAGUGUGUUCUCUUGGUCUUGAUAAGAAAGAUAGGUAAGUUUUCAAUUCCCUGUGGAUUUGAUCCUUUCACCACUAUCUAUAGUUGUAAGAUUGUUAAUAACUAGAAAGGUUAUUUUUGACCGGCUUCGACAACCGACUGUCAAUAGUAUCCUGCCAAGCCCGAGAAACUCCUAAUCUUUAUAGCAUUAGUUGGAGGAUCCCAAUUGACUGCUACCUCAAUCUUCUUAGGAUCAAUAAAUACUCCAUCUGCUGAGAUAACAUGUUCUAGGAAGACCACCCUAUCAAGCCAAAACUCACAUUUACUCAACUUAGCAUACACUUGCUCCCUUCUUAGAGUUUUGCUUCUCAUAAUCUUCCUUACUAGGAGAAUACACCAAAAUAUCAUCAAUAAACAUAAUAAAAAAACCAUCUAAGAAAGGUUUGAACACCCUACUCAUGAGAUCCAUAAAAGUAGCAGGUGCAUUGGUUGACCCAAAAGGCAUAACAAAAAAACUCAUAAUGCCCAUAACAAGUUCUAAAAGUUGUCUUAGGUAUAUCGAACUCAUUUAUCUUCAACUGAUGACAAUCUUAGAGAACACCUUAUCUCCUUGAAGUUGAUUAAAGAGAUCAUCAAUGUGGGGCAUAGGAUACUUAUUCCUCAUUGUAAUUCGAUUUACUUGUCGAUAAUCAAUGCAUAAUCUCAAGGAACCAUUUUUCUUCUUCACAAACAGCAUAAGAGCUUCCUAAGGUAAAACACUCGGUCUUAUAAACCUUUAUCAAAAAACUCUUGAAAUUGUACUUUUAACUAAUUCAAUUCUACUAGACCCAUUCUAUAUGGUGCCAUAGAGAUAAGAGCUAUACCUAGGUUCAAAUCAACUGAAAACUCCAUCUCUCUAUCUGGAGGCAACCUAGGAAGCUUACCAAGGAAAGCAUCAAGAAACUCACAUACUAUUGGAAUAUCUUCCAACUUAUGUCCCUCUAAGCUACUGUCAGUCACAUGACUAGGUAUGUUUGACAACCCUUCAUAAGCAUUUUCCUAGCAAUCAUGGUAGAAAUUAUAAAAGAAGGAAGAAAACUUCUUUCUCCAUGAAAGAUGAACUUAGACCCUCUAGGACAAUCAAACAUCACCAACUUCUCAGAGCAAUCUACUAUGGCACAAUGGUAGGUAGCCAAUCCAUACCCAGGAUGGCAUCAAGAUCUUGAAGGUGUAAAGGAAUCAAAUCCACAAAAAACUCAUGAUCAUCCAACUUAACAACACAAUUCUUGUACAAAUGCUCACAUACAAUAGAAUUUCCAAUUGGAGUACCCACAACUAGUCAACAAUCUAAGGAUUUUAACUCUCUAUUAGUAUGCGUAGAGAAUGAUUGAGAUAUGAAGAAAUGUCUAGAACCAGGGUCUAUAAGAAUGUGUGCAUUCCUACCAAAGAUAGUCAACAUACCAAUUACCACUUAUAGAGAUGCUCGUGCCUCAUGUUGUGUCAUAGCAAAAACUCUUGCCUGAGUGCGGAGUCUAUCGGGUUGUGCUAUAGGCCUAGACUGAGAAGAUGAAGCUGCUCCACUAGCUUUGUUGACACUAGGUCUAGCUUGAAGUGUAACUCCACCAUAUAGUAGUGCCAUACCAUGUUGUGAAUUCUGAGGCACCACUAAUCCAUACCCAAAACCACUAUCUCUAGCUACAAGCAAAGUACAAUCCCUCUUGAUGUGUCCCAUGGCACCACACUCAAAGCAUCCUUUGUCAAACUUCCUACACGUCCCAUCAUAGUACUUGCCACAUGUAGCACACUCAAGAAAGUGUCUCUUCUUCUGCUUAAACCCAAAAUUAUAACCUUGUCCUUGUCUUUGCCUGUGUAUCCCAAAGGGACUACCUGUUGAUUGUGUUAUAGAACCUUGACUAGCUUGGGGUCAAGUAGAGUGCUACUCCAAACUCAUAUAUGAACUUUUUCCACUGCGACUAUAAUCAGCUCUAAACCGUGAUGAACUGCCCCCAUCUCUUAGCUAGUCUCUCUCUGAAUCCUUGUGAAGAACUCUGCCAUGCUUUUAACUUAUCUUUUGCUCAUAGUCUUUCUCUUCUUGCUUGACUUUCUCAACAUUUAAGGCUGCUUCAACUAUUUCUUCGAAAUUAUGGCCUCUGAACCAGGUCAUAGAUGACCAAAUGCUAACAUGUAAGCCUGCCUGAUUCUAUCACACUUAGUUUCUUUAGAAGGUAGGAUGUUUAAAACAAAGUAGUAGAGGUCUUCAAACAUGUCGAUAUAUUCCCUCACUAAAAGACUUUCCAAAAAUAACUUGAAAAAUGCAUCUUGCUUCCCUUUCCUGUAACUCUUUGAUAAAUAAUCAUGGUGAAAUUCGUGCACGAACGGAUCUCAAGUCACACCAACUCCAUACCUACGACGUAUCCCAUCAAACCAGCUAUCAGCUCUACUCUGAAGCAAUCCAUGUACAUUAUCCAUCUUAUCAACAUCAGUUAAAUUCAUCAAUUCAAACUUCUUAAUCACUCUCUUUAACCAUUUAUUUGCAACAUCGGCAUCUAAAGAGCCUUCAAAAUCAUAUGCUUUCAAACGUCUAGCACAAUCUAUUACCUCCCAUGGGUCUCUAGGCUUAGCAACGAUAGUCGCUGAGACUACUUGUACCACAAAAAUACCAAGAUCUAUAUUUAACUAAAAAGGAACUACUAGUGCUACAGGCAGAACAAGAGGUGCAACUACAAAUGCAAUAGGAGGUGCAAUUGCAUGUGUUGGAGGAGCUGGUGUGGUGCAGUCGAAUAUGCCCCUGAUAUAUUACCAUGAGAAACAAAAUCUUCGUGUUCAUCUCUGCUCUCAGGUAAGACAUGAUCUGCCACCCUUUUAAGAGGUGGAGGUGCAAAUGCAUGAUCCCUAUGAGGUUGGCUAAUAUCAACUAAUCUAACUCUAUGAAUACCACGGCCAUAGUUGGCACCACGGCCUCUACCACCUACUUUUGGCGGCAUUGUCCUACAAAUUAAAAAAAAUGAGAAAGGAGAUAUCAAGAUAUGAUAAAAGAAAUCGGCACAAGGAAGGUCUAUAAAAUCUAUAAACCUUUACUAUGAUACCAUUAAAAGUCACAUUUAGUCCCUAACCUAUAGAGAGAGAUGUGACAAGACACACUGAUAAAGUUUUUCCUAACAGUAUGCUAAUUAAUAUGAUAACCUGUUGAAUUUUAGAAGAUAUAGAUAUAUGUGGAAAAUGGCUUCAUGCCAAACAUUCAUAAUUUUGUCAUAAAUACAUUCCUAUCCUUUUUGUGAGGAUAAAAAAUAAUAUGCAUUUACUGCUCCAGAAAAUAUUACUAGCAGCUUAGGAAAGUAUAGAUGUAUAUACAUUCAUUCCAAAUUAAUUAAAGUUUACAAAAUGAAUUCUAGUUGGCCUAACCUCCACUAGACUAUGCCGCUGGUGAAGUGAAUGCAAGGACAAGCUUAAAAAUAAGACUGUUGGACUGGAUCAGCAAAAAGAAUCUGAAGUAUUAAAAUAUGAGAAGUGAGUAUAACUACUCAAUAACCAAAUAAAUAAAUAACAAAAGGUCAAUAGACAAGGUUUUGGUACGUAAUAAUACAGCAUAAUAUACUAAAAUAAGUCAACUGAAUAAAUAUAAUCAGUCGAAAUUAUUUAUUCAAUAAUAUAAAAAAAAAUCAUAAAUAGUUUGAUACACUCAUAACAUGUCUCUUAUAGAUAAUGCUGGCAUCUCAGAUAUGAUAAAUAGAACUGUUGAUAGCUUGAGAGCAAUGCUAGCAUCUUAGACUCUAUGAUAACAAUAUUGACUAAAAAUAAAUAAAAUUAUGUUGGUCAUAUACAUCUACAGAGCUACCCCCAAAGGACAACCACCCAAUAUACGCUCCAAAGACUAUAUAUAUGUCGAGCAUUGUCCUAAAGAUAGUAUAAAUAUAAGCUAAACUAAGAAUGAAUCACCUGUCAUCAAGGUGUUAUCUAAUCAAUGCAUAUACAAAGUGUAGUCGGUUAUUUAUUCAAUUAUAAUAUAAUUUUCUUUUCAUUUAUUUGAGGAGCAUAAAUUUACCAUUAUCCAUCCCUAUUUUUCUACAAUAAAAUAUCACAUAUAGAUAUAUAUUUAAUAAAAUACCAAUAUUAUAAAUUUAUCCACUCACCUAUACUAAAGACAGAAUAAAGUUUAGGUAGCUGGAGCACCCCUUAGGAUCUAGAGUAAGAAUUGGAUCAUCUACUAGAAUUAUAGAAAAUAUAAUGCAUCAAUGACAGAAAUUUAAAUCCUAGAAUGCAAAUGUGGAAUGUGAAAUGCAUGAUUAAUUUUCAAAAACUUUAACAAAAAUUCGGCAGCAUUUCGGCAUAAACUAAACUUUUCCCCAAAUUUUUACAUGCUCAACCAACUCAACAACACUUAAUAUCCAUCACAAGUAAUUUAAAAUGUCCAUUUGGAGCCUUCAACUGCAUAUUCAUAUAAAUUCCAUCAUUCUCCAUUUAUCUCUACUCUUCCCUUCAAACCAUAGUUUUCAUUUCCUUCAAUACAUCGACUUAACUUCUUUCCAACAUUAAAUUUCAACUUUUUCAAUAUUAAUAUACAACCCAAUAAUUAUCAUAUAUUCAAGAUUACUCAAUACAUUUUUUUUCUAACAAUACAAUAACUAUUUAAGAAAAUAAACAUCAAAUUCCUAACACAUGCUGAAAUCAUCCUUUCAAUAUCUUCCUUUUACAAAAAUUAGGGACCUAUUAUAACAAAAAUAACUUAUUGAACAAAAUCUCUAAACAAAAAAUAAUAAAUCCAAAAUCAACAUUUAACUCUCUAUAAUUUCAAAUCAUAAAAAUCACCAUAUAAUAUACUAAGAAGAUAUAUAAAGCUUAAGAAAUUUACAAAGAAAAUGAGAGAAAUUUACCUACUAAAGCUUGAUGCCUAAGAGAGAGGAAAAUGGAUUUUGGGUUAGGGUUUUUUAUUGAGAAAAGCUAAAAUAAAAAUUGAUUUGAGGCUUUGAUUUAGAUUGAAUGAUUAAACUGAAAAAUGGACAGGAGUUAAAGGAUUAAGAAAAGAAAUUUAAAUUUCUUUUUUAAUCAGCAAAUGAGCAGAGGAGGUGAUAGAGCAUAUUUUAGUCCACUUUAUCAUUAUGUUCUUAAUGUUUAUUUGCAUCUUUUCUGCCUAAUUUUGUGUUUUUAAUUAUGUUUUGCAGAUAUUAGGUGUAAAGAGACAUUUUAGAGAAAAUACCCUUAAAACUGCCUUAAAUGGAGCAAAGGAGAGCAAGCCUACCAAGUUGAAAUCAAGUGAAGCUAAAUAAGGAAAGUGGCAAAUAAGGAAAGAACAUUCAGCCAAAGCAAUUUGAAAUUCAAAUUUCAAAUCUCCAAGUAGCCACCUCCUUAUUCAAGAAGCCAAAUCUCAAGUUGCCAUAAAUGAAGAAGCCAAAUAAGGAAAGUAUUUUGAAUUUCAAAUCUUCAAGAUUCAUAUUCAAAUUUUGAAUUUCAAAAUUCAGCUUAUUAAGGAAGCUAAAUCCAAAGAUCACAUGCUUGCCACCUCAUGCCUUGCACAUUCAAAAUUCAAAUUGCAAAGGAAGGCUCGACCUUCCUUAUUUGUGCAUGGGCGGCAAGGAAGGUGUGAAGAAGCUUCUUGGGCAGUUUGGGCAGCCACCUAAGAUCAACAUAGGCAGCAAGUAAGGGCAAGGACCACAACUCUUGCACAAGCCACACAUGCCACACGCCUCUCCCUUCACGUAUGCAUGGGCGGCAAUACAAGAAGUUCAAGGGCAAUUUGGGCAGCCUCUUGAAGACACAUGGACAGUGAGGAAACCCUAGGACAGCAUCUGAAAAACAUAUUUAAGCUCUCCUUAAGCCAGCCGCCCAGGACCCCGAUCCCUUCUCUUCAAUUCGGCCAAGGCAAGGAAGGCUCUCCAAGGCUCCAUCUUCGGUUCUUCUUCAUCUUUUGCUCUUUUCUUUUUAUUUUCUGUUUUGUUUCAUCCAUGAGUGGCUGAAACCUUUAAUUCUAGUUGAGGAUUGAUUGAAACUAAGGUUGUUAUAUGGAUUGUGAGAUCUGAACACACAUUGUUUGUCUUUUGGUUAUUCAAUAUUCAUACAGUUCAUACUUGAAAUCUAUUAUUACUUUGUUAUUUUGAUCAAAUUGGCCACUUGAUUCUUGAUUGCAAGGUAAUUAAUUAUUAGUUUGGAUAAUUUUAAGUCCGUAAUUGCUUGAAUUAUUCAAACAUAAGAACACUUAGUGUAACAACUAAGGAAUUGUAUGAUCUAGCAACAUCUCAUGCAUUUGAGUAGCUAGGAUUGGAUCUCUCUCUUUCUUCAUGCAGUUAACAAUUGUUUGAUGCUUAAGGCCCAAGGACAUUCCUUAGCAAUCUGUUAAUUAGUAAUUAAUUAGAGAACGUUUCCUAAUUGGUUUAACCAUAAGGAGAGACAUGGUGGUGAGAAGCAUUUUCUAUCUUCAUAACUAAUAUAUUGAAUCAAUCAAAAGAACACAAGUUUCAAUGAUCAAUCCAAACAACCAAAGUGGAUCCAACUCUUUAACUAGACCUUUCUCAUAUUUGAUUUCUCUUUUAUUUACAUUAUUCGCUCAUUUAAUUGUUUUCAGUAGUUGCUAAUCAAAUCAAUCUCAAAACCCCACAUUUUACUUUUAUUGCACUUUAUUUUUAUUCCGCUUUCAAUUACUCGCUUUCAGUUGCACUUUCAGUUAAUUCUCUUGGUCUUGUUGAGAAAAAUAGAUAAGUUUUCAAUUCUCUAUGGAUUCGAUCCUUUACCACUAUCUGCAGUAGUAAUAUUAUUGAUAACCGAAAAGGUUAUUUUUUACCGGCUUCGAUAACCGCGAGUCAAAAAUUAGCGCCGCUGCCGGGGAAUUGAUUUAACUAAUCUGUUUUUCUUUCAUGACCAGAUCUGAACGUAGGAACACUCUGCCUUAUGAUCCAAAAAUUGAACGCACCAUCAGGAGACUAGGAAAGCAAGCAAUUCGGCCUAAAGAACCACCUGAAGCCGAACCUGCGCCUGAAGACCACUUCUGCGCAGAACCAUCAUCUGAAACACUUCCCACGCACCACCAAGUUCCUGAAAUGGCAGAAAACGUGGCACAACCUGCUAUCCACAAUGAACAUGCUGUCCAUGAAGAAAUUAUACACCAAAAUCCAGCCAUGAGAGCUCCAGUGCCAAGUGAAAGAACCAUGAGAGAAUUGGCAACACCUGUAGGUGAUCAAUCACCUCUUUGCAUCACCUAUCCACCUCUGACAGUUCCCUUUGAACUGAAAAUAGAUUUGAUUCAUCUUCUCUCUAAGUUUAGAGGUCUAGAAAUGAAAGUCCACAUAAGCACUUGAAAGAGUUCAAUAUUAUCUACUCAUUUAUGAGACCUCAAGAUAUUUCUAAAGAUCAUGUUAAGUUAAGAGCUUUUUGAUAGAGCAUAUUUUAGCCCAAUUUAUCCUUAUGUUCUUGAUGUUUAUUUACACCUAUUCUACCUAAUUUUGUGGUUUUAAAUAUUUUUUGCAAGUAUUAGGUGUAAAGAAGCAAUUUGGAGAAAAUGCUCUUUAAAAUACCAAAAAGUGCCAAAAUUGAAAAAGCCACCUUCGACAGCUCUUUCGGCGGCCGAACCUUCGGUCCAGAGGCGAAACUCAACCUCCUUCGGAAGCACUUUGGGGAGCCAAAACUGCCAGUCAUCUUCGGCGGCACUUUCGGCGGCCGAACCUUCACUCCAGAGACGAAAGUCACCUUCCUUCGGCGGCACCUUCGGUCGCCGAACCUUGCGUUCAGAGCCGAAAGUCCUGCCUCCGAAACUUAACUUAGGCGGCCGAAAGUGCCCCCGAACAGCCUCCUUCCUAUUCAAUGAGCCAAAUCUUGGAGAUCACAUGUUUCCUACAUAGUGCCAUGCUCAUUCAAAAUUCAAAUCAAGGCUCCACCUUCCUCAUUAGUGCAUAAAUCUUCUUGGACACACCAUGAACAGCAAUUAAAGGACCAAAAUGCCCAACCCUUGCCCUCACAUGCACACAUAAGGCCAAGGGCACUUUGGGCAAAUCUCUAAAAGACCUCUCAAGAUCUAUUUAAAGGCUUCAAGAAGAUCAAGAACUCAUCAUCUCCCAUCAAGGAUUGAUCAAGAAUUCGGCAAGGCUUCUCCUAGGCCUCCUCCACCUUAGUUCUUCAUCUUUUUGCUUUCUUUUCUUUGAUUUUCUGUUUUGGUUCAGCCAUGAGUGGCUAAAACCCCUUACUCUAGUUGAAGUUUGGUUGAAACUAAGGUUGUUUAAAGGGUUGUGAGAUCUGAACAUAAAGUGUUUGCUUUUGAUUUAUUCAAUAUUCAUGCAAUUGUGCUUAAUUCUAAGAUUGCUUUGUUGUUUUGAUCAAAUUGGCCACUUGAUUCUUGAUUGCAAAGUUAAUUGAUUGUUGGAUUAGGAUAUUUGUUAGUCCGUAAUUGCUGAAAAUAUUCUGUCCAUAGAACACUUAGUGUAAAAACCCAAGAAAUUGUAUGAUCUAGCAACAUCUUAUGCGUUUGAGUAGCUAGGGUUUGGAUCUUUCUUGUUCUUCAUGCAAUUGGCAAUUGUUUUGAUGCCUUUGGCCCAAGGAAGUUCCUUGGCAAUUUGUUGAUUAGUAAUUGGUUAGAGGACGUUCCCUAAUCAGUUUGUUCAUAAGGAAAGACAUGGUAGUGAGAAGCGUCUUCCACCCCCAUAACCAACCUAUUGAAUCAAUCAAGAUAACCAUGUUUCAAUGAUCAACCCAAACAACCAAAGUGGAUCCAUAUCUUCAACUAGACUUCUCUCAUAUUGAUUUCUUCUUUUAUUUUAAUUACUUGCUGUUUUAAUUGCUUUCAAUAGUCGUUAGACAAAUCAAUCUCAAAACCCCCUUUUUACUUUCCUUGCACUUUACUUUUGUUCUAUUUGCGAUUACUUACUUUCUACUGUGUUUUCAAUUAGUUUCCUUAGUCUUGAUUGAGAAAAAAUAAAUAGGUAAUCAAUUCUCUGUGGAUUCGAUCCUUCACCACUAUCUACAGUUGUAAAUUGUUGAUAACCAAGAAGGUUAUUUUUGACCGGCUUCGACAACCGACAGUCAAAAAUUGGCGCCGUUGCCGGGAAAUUGAUCUCACUUGUUUAUUUAUUUUUCUUUCAUGACCAGGUCUGAGCAUAGGGACACUCUGCCCUUUAAUCCAGAAAUUGAACGCACCCUCAGAAGGCUAGGAAAGCAAGCCUCUACGCCUGAAGAACAUUCUGCCCAACCUUCGGCCGCCGAAAGUCCUUCUCUCCAGCAACCGAACUUUGCACCGAUGGCAGAACCUCAAGCACCAGCUGCUGCCCCCAAUGGACAAGCUGUCCAGAAUCAAAUAGUUCAAGAAAAUCCAGCAAUAAGACCUCAAGUGCCAAGGGAAAGAACUAUGAGAGAGUUAGCAACACCUAUAGGUGAUCAAGCGCCUCUUUGCAUCACCUAUCCACCUCUUACAGUUCCCUUUGAACUCAAGACAGGUUUGAUACAUCUACUCCCUAAAUUUGGAGAUAGAGAGAAUGAAAAUCCACACAAGCACUUAAAAGAAUUUAGUAUUGUUUGUUCAUCCGUGAGACCUCAAGGGAUCUCUGAAGAUCAUGUUAAAUUGAGAGCUUUUCCCUUUUCAUUAGAUGACUAUGCUAAGGAUUGGUUAUUUUAUUUGCCACCUGGAUCUAUAACUUCUUGGGAUGAUAUGGUCCAAACCUUCUUGGACAAGUACUUCCCACCAUCUAAAUCAAUAGGCAUAAUAAGAGAAAUCACUAGCAUACGACAAAAACAAAAUGAGGACUUAUAUACAGUUCUUCUAUGGAGGAUUGAUUCCAUCAGAAAUGAAACUCAUAAAUGUAGCUUUUGGAGGAUCCAUCCUAGACAAGUCACCAAGGGAGAUGAAAGAGUUGAUAUCUACUCUUGCAGCCUCAUCUAGGCAGUAUGGAGAAGAGAGGCAACUACAAAGGGCAAAUGAGGUAAGUUUUCCCACUAUUUCUGAACUAACAUCUGUUAUGAAAAAUAUUAUCAUAGAUGUUGUGCAACAGAUGCAAACACCCCAGCCACCUAGGCCAUGUGGGAUUUGCUCAUAUGUAGGACACCCGACUGAUCAAUGUCCUACACUCUAAGAAGACCACUAGCAAGCAAAUGCCAUUGGAGGGUACCAUAACCAGCCUAGACAUGAUCCGUACUCAAACACUUACAAUCCUGGCUGGAGAGACCAUCCCAAUUUCAGCUAUGGAAGGGCCAACAAUACCCAGAACUACCAAAGAAAUCAAGCCCAACCAGCACCUCAGAACUCUAAUCCGAGCCUUGAGAAGAUGAUGGAGACACUGAUAAGCACCAUGCAAGGCGUGCGACAAGACCUAGGACAAAUGGCCACCUCUAUAAGCUAACUGCAAACCCAAGGCAAACUACCUUCUCAAACUGAAACUAACCCAAGACAGAAUGUCAGUGCUAUUACUUUGAGAAGUGGCAAAGAGCUUCAAGAUGCUAGUCAUGAGUAAGAGAAGGAAGUUGCACCAAAGACACCUCCUGCGCAAGAACCAAUGCAACCUGAAGCCUCUCCAUCACAAUCUGAACCACCUCCUGCGCACAAAACUGAUCCAAAAGUAAGUUUUCACAUUCCACUUCCUUUUCCAAAAAGAUUUGAAAGAACGCAAAAAGAAAAAGAAGAAAAGGAGAUCCUUGAGACUUUCAGAAAAGUGGAAAUCAACAUACCACUGCUAGAUGCUGUCAAGCAGAUCCCCAGGUAUGCAAAAUUUCUGAAAGAGCUUUGCACCAAUAGAAGAAAGCUUGCUAAAAGAGAAAAAGUAAGUGUAGGUGAGGUAGUUACUACUGUUAUUAAAAGAGAACUCCCUACCAAAUGCAAGGACAAAGGUAUGUUUGCUAUCUCUUGCAAAAUUGGUAAUGUUGGUAUCAAGAAAGCCAUGUGUGAUUUAGGUGCAUCUAUCAAUGUCAUGCCUCUCUCCAUCUAUAGAUCUCUAAAUGCAUGUGCACUUAAGGAAACAAGAGUUGUGAUAUAGCUAGCUGAUAGAUCUGUGGUAUAUCCCAUAGGUGUUCUAGAAGAUGUCUUAGUCCAAGUAGAUGAACUUGUCUUUCCUGCUGAUUUUUAUGUAAUUGAUACUAAGGAAGAUAGUUGCAAUACUAGUUCUGACAUUCUUCUUGGACGUCCUUUCUUGAGUACCGCUAGGACUAAAAUCGAUGUGCAUGAUGGUACUCUUACCAUGGAAUUUGAAGGGAAAGUCAUUAAGUACAAUGUCUAUGAUGCUAUGAAAUACCCACAUGAUAUGUCCCCAGUUUAUGGUCUUGAUAUUAUUGAUUGUUUAAGCCAAGAUGUGUUUAAUGAAAAUCAAGAUUGUAUUUUGGAGGAUGAUCUUUGCAGGAUUGAAAACCUGAAACUGAAAGAAACCAUUUGCAGCAUUCAGCAAGUAGAGGUAAAGCAGACAGAAGGCAUUCGGCCGCCGAACACAGCCCACCUUCGGCCGCCGAACCCCGCUGCUCUUCAGACACCAGAUUCUGUUGCACCACUUUUGCAACACAUUGCGCAGAAGAAAGACGUCCUUCAGCCGCCGAACCCAAGCGAUUUUCAGAAGUCGAAUCCAUCGCCACAGUUCACUUCGCAAAGUGAAGACCUUCGGCCGCCGAACUCAGACACUUUUCGGCCGCCGAACCUCUCACAGCAGCUUCCAUCACAAGCAAACUCUUCCAUCCCACCUCCUUUGCAGUCAAGACCAGAAUAGUACCUUCCAGAUUCUGAAGAGAGUAAGCACGAUCUCCUUGAAAAAAUCUUUCUUGCUCAAUCUGAUGAGCCAUGGUAAGCAGAUAUGGUAAACUACUUGGCCACAGGUAACUUACCUUCUGACAUGCCAAAGCACACUAAAGAUAAGAUAAAAAAAAGAUGCCAAAUACUAUGUUUGGAAUGAGCCAUAUUUGUGGAAAUAUUGUGCUGACCAAAUGAUAAGGAAAUGCAUUCCUGAUCAAGAAAUAGCCUCUGUACUCACUUUUUAUCAUUCAUAUAGUUGUGGAGGACACUUUGAUCCAAGGAAAACUGCUCAUAAGAUACUUGAAAGUGGCCUAUUUUGGCCCAUAAUAUUUCGAGAUGCCUUUUUGUUUUGCAGGUCAUGUGCUAGGUGUCAACAAACUGGAAAUCUGAGUAGAAGAAAUCAAAUGCCACAUAACCCCAUCAUGGUCUGUGAGGUAUUUGAUGUUUGGGGCAUAGACUUCAUGGGCCCAUUCCCACCAUCCUUUGGAUACACUUAUAUCAUCCUUGCAGUGGAUUAUGUGUCCAAAUGGGUGGAAGCUAGAGCAACUAAGACCGAUGAUGCCAAAGCAGUAGUAAACUUUGUGAAGACCAACAUCUUUGCCAGACAUGGAGUAUCAAAAGCAAUCAUCAGUGAUAGAGGGACCCAUUUUUGCAAUAGGGUGGUGGAAAGCCUUCUCAGAAAACACAAUGUCAUACAUAGGAUAUCCACAGCCUACCACCCUCAAACAAAUGGGCAAGUUGAAGUCUCCAAUAGAGAAAUCAAAGCCAUCCUUGAAAAGACAGUCUCCCCAAACCGAAAGGAUUGGAGUACAAGGUUAGAAGAUGCUCUAUGGGCCUACAGAAUAGCCUACAAGACCCCCAUAGUAUGUCUCCCUACAGAUUGGUCUAUGGGAAAGCUUGUCACCUUCCAGUUGAACUUGAGCACAAAGCCCAUUGGGCUGUGAAGAAUUGCAACUUGGACCUCAAAGAAGCUGGCCACCAUCGCAAGUUGCAACUGCAAGAUCUAGAGGAAAUAAGACGAGAUGCAUAUGAGAAUUCAUGGAACUACAAAACAAAAACCAAAGCCUCACAUGACAAUCAUCUUUCAAGAAAAUAAUUUGAGGCUGGUGAUAAAGUCUUACUCUUUGACUCUCAUUUGAAGUUGUUUCCAGGGAAGCUACGGUCUAGGUGGAUUGGACCAUUCAUUGUAUAACAUUGAUAGAGCAUAAUUUAGUCCAUUUUAUAUUAAUAUUAUUAAUAAAUAUUUACAUGAUUUCUGCCUAAUUUAGUGUUUUCAAUAUUAUUUUGCAGAAAAUAGUGUAAAAGGACAAUUUGGAGAAAAUCUCCCUAAAACUGCCUUAUUAGAGCAAAGAAUGAGGAAAGGAUUUUGAAGCUUAAAUAUUCAAGUUUCUGGGCCCACUUAUGGAUCAGCCCAUUCCCACACCACUCAGCCCAAACGCUUCACGGGACAACUCCAGCACAUGGGCCCGCCAUUGCACCUCAGCAAAUCUCCCGCACCUUCACGCACUUGGGCACCCCCUUUUCCUGCAAAGAACCAAGCGUGCAAGUCCACCAUUCCCUCCAGUGGACCAGUCCACGCACAAUCAAGCACAUGGACAAAGCCCAGCGCAUGGACCCGCCGAAGCUCCUCUCUGCACGUGGACCGCUUCAUCCACUCCAGCACCCAACACUCACGCGGCCCGCUUCUCCAAAUUCACUUCACGUGGACCACAUUCCCACUUCACCCAUUCUUGCACAAUGGCCCAACUUCACCACUCCAGCACAUGGUCCCGCCAAGGCAUAUGGACCAAGCAGCGGACAGCACAUGGACCUUUCACUUGCAACAGGGCCCGCCACUCAUGCCCCAUUUCAACCCACGCAUAUGGACCGCACAGCGUGGGCCCGCGCUUCAUCAUUGUCUUCACGUGGACCAUGGACCAUGGACCAGCGCUUUUUCUCAAAGUUCACGCGAACCACUCACACUAAUUCUUCCACUUCAGCGCUCUCACACGUGGACGGCAAAUUCCCAAUUAGGGCGUCUCUCCAGCUCUAUUUAAAGAGCUUUAAGCAGCCAGAAAGAGAAUUCAAUUCUCACUCGGCAAUUUCGGUGCUCGGCGCAAAAGGCAGAAUCUCCAUCGGUUUUUUUCCUUUUCUUUUCCUUUUAAUUUUCUGUUUUUAAUUCAGCCAAUGAGUGACUGAUUUCUUUAAUUCUAGUUGAGGAUUGGUUGAAACUAAGGUUGUUUAAUGGAUUGUGAGAUCUGAACAUAAAUUAUUGUCUUUGGUUUUGUUCAAUAUUUAUGCAAUUAAUGCUUUAAUUAUAUGAUUACUUUGUUGUUUUGAUCAAAUUGGCCACUUGAUNNNNNNNNNNNNNNNNNNNNNNNNNNNNNNNNNNNNNNNNNNNNNNNNNNNNNNNNNNNNNNNNNNNNNNNNNNNNNNNNNNNNNNNNNNNNNNNNNNNNNNNNNNNNNNNNNNNNNNNNNNNNNNNNNNNNNNNNNNNNNNNNNNNNNNNNNCAAACCCCCCCAUUUUACUUUUAUUGCAAUUUAUUUUUAUUCUGUUUCCAGUUUAUCUCAUUUGAUCCCACUUUCAGUCUUUUAUCUCAUCUUUAAUUUAUUAUUGUUUUAGUUUAUUUUAUUGGUCUUGUUAAGAAAAAUAAAUAGGUAAUCAAUUCUCUGUGGAUUCGAUCCUUUCACCAAUAUCUGCAGUUGUAAAAUUGUUGAUAACCAGAAAGGUUAUUUUUGACCGGCCUCGAAAACCGCGAGUCAAACAUGCCUACCCACAUGGAGCUGUAGACAUCAAAAGCAUAGAAACUGGAAAAAUCUUCAAAGUAAAUGGACAUCGUCUGAAGCCAUACUUUGAAGGAUUCGCAGUACAAGUAGUGGAAGAAAUUCCACUACAACAGCAUUCUGCCUAAAGAAAUCAUGCCAUGCACACCACACCCCAGGGGAGUAUUCAAAUUCCUUUGUUCUCUUUUUUCUUUUACAUUGAGGACAAUGCAUGAUUUAAGUGUGGGGGUGCAUAUCUUCUUCUUUCUUCUUCCCUUCUCUUCAUCUUCUUCCUUUAUCUUCUGCGAUUUUACAUGCUUUCAGAUUGCAAAAUUUUUUUUUUCUCCUUUCAGUCUUGCAUUUCUUUCAGUUAAUUAGCCACAGUUGAAUUUUAAUUUGUUUAACCUUUCAAUAAAACACACACAACCACAACCUUCUUCUUCUUUUUUUGUUUUGCUCUACUCAAACUGAUGAACUAUGUUAGAUGAGUCCUUCUUUCCAUGACUCCAUUGAUGUGAUAACUCUUUAAACUUAUGUUGAAUCAAUUGCAGUGAGCUAUAUUCAUGUUUGAGAAUUGCCUUUUGAAUUGAAUCUUUGAGUUUGCUAUGAUGAAAAAUAUAUUGAUGACCCUCAAUUGAUUGAGAAUAAAUUGAAAUUGUGUGAAUGAACCUAAUGUGACUUGAUUUAGCAAUUGGUGUUGAUUUGCCCAAAUCAUUGAAAGAAAGAAAAUUCAGCAAAGGCAAAGACCUCAAAAGCACAAAUUCAAAAACUGUUCCAAUGGUCAAAAGACUAGGAACAAGGCUAGUAGCCACUUGGAUAGGUGACCAACUGAAAAAUAUAAACCAUGACAUCAAAAAUAGGUUGGUGACCUUUCCAAGCAAAAUCAAAGUGCAAAAGCCUGAAUAAAGUACUUCAAGGUAAGGGCAAGUCAAUCCAAAAGCUAGAAAAAGUCUUAACAAAUUAAUGUGCAUGUCUCUCUUGAGGAAAACAAAUCUUAGCCAUGGUAAGCAAAGGGAAACAAGGAAAGGGGGUAAGUAAUCUUCAUGCACAUAUUCUUCACUGCAAUGCUUCAAAAUAAGUGUCUAGAGUAUGAGCUAAAGUGGUAAUAAGGAUCUAGAGGAAGAAAACUUAUUUGACUAUGUUUAUUUGCUUGAGGACAAGCAAAAGCUUAAGUGUGGGGGUAUUUGAUAGAGCAUAUUUUAGCCCAAUUUAUCCUCAUGUUCUUGAUGUUUAUUUACACCUAUUCUACCUAAUUUUUUGGUUUUCAACAUGUUUUGCAAGUAUUAGGUGUAAAGAAGCAAUUUGGAGAAAAUGCUCUUAAAAAUACCAAAAAGUGCCAAAAUUAGAAAAGCCAACUUCGGCAGCUCUUUCGGCGGCCGAACCUUCGGUCCAGAGGCAAAACUCAACCUCCUUUGGAAGCACUUUCGGGAGCCAAAUUUGCCAGUCAUCUUCGGCGGCACUUUCGGCGCCCGAACCUUCACUCCAGAGACGAAAGUCACCUUCCUUCGGCGGCACCUUCGGCCGCCGAACCUUGCGUCCAGAGCCGAAAGUCCUGCCUCUGAAACUUAACUUAGGCGGCCGAAAGUGCCCCCGAACAGCCUCCUUCCUAUUCAAUGAGCCAAAUCUUGGAGAUCACAUGUUUCCUACAUAGUGCCAUGCUCAUUCAAAAUUCAAAUCAAGGCUCCACCUUCCUCAUUAGUGUAUAAAUCUUCUUGGACACACCAUGGACAGCAAUUAAAGGACCAAAAUGCCCAACCCUUGCCCUCACAUGCACACAUAAGGCCAAGGGCACUUUGGGCAAAUCUCUAAAAGAUGCAUGGACAGCCACCAAACCCUAAGGAGCCUCUCAAGAUCUAUUUAAAGGCUUCAAGAAGAUCAAGAACUCAUCAUCUCCCAUCAAGGAUUGAUCAAGAAUUCGGCAAGGCUUCUCCUAGGCCUCCUCCACCUUAGUUCUUCAUCUUUUUGCUUUCUUUUCUUUGAUUUUCUGUUUUGGUUCAGCGAUGAGUGGCUGAAACCCCUUACUCUAGUUGAAGUUUGGUUGAAACUAAGGUUGUUUAAAGGGUUGUGGGAUCUGAACAUAAAGUGUUUGCUUUUGAUUUAUUCAAUAUUCAUGCAAUUGUGCUUAAUUCUAAGAUUGCUUUGUUGUUUUGAUCAAAUUGGCCACUUGAUUAUUGAUUGCAAAGUUAAUUGAUUGUUGGAUUAGGAUAUUUGUUAGUCCGUAAUUGCUGGAAAUAUUCUGUCCAUAGAACACUUGGUAUAAAAACCCAAGAAAUUGUAUGAUCUAGCAACAUCUCAUGCGUUUGAGUAGCUAGGGUUUGGAUCUUUCUUGUUCUUCAUGCAAUUGGCAAUUGUUUUGAUGCCUUUGGCCCAAGGACGUUCCUUGGCAAUUUGUUGAUUAGUAAUUGGUUAGAGGACGUUCCCUAAUCAGUUUGUUCAUAAGGAAAGACAUGGUAGUGAGAAGCGUCUUCCACCUCCAUAACCAACCUAUUGAAUCAAUCAAGAUAACCAUGUUUCAAUGAUCAACCCAAACAACCAUAGUGGAUCUAUAUCUUCAACUAGACUUCUCUCAUAUUGAUUUCUUCUUUUAUUUUAAUUACUUGCUAUUUUAAUUGCUUUCAAUAGUCGUUAGACAAAUCAAUCUCAAAACCCCCUUUUUACUUUCCUUACACUUUACUUUUGUUCUAUUUGCGAUUACUUAUUUUCUACUGUGUUUUCAAUUAGUUUCCUUGGUCUUGAUUGAGAAAAAAUAAAUAGGUAAUCAAUUCUCUGUGGAUUCGAUCCUUCACCACUAUCUACAGUUGUAAAUUGUUGAUAACCAAGAAGGUUAUUUUUGACCGGCUUCGACAACCGACAGUCACUUUUCCUUUUUCACUUGAUGCUUAUGCUAAGGAUUGGCUAUUUUACUUACCACCUGGAUCUAUUACUUCUUGGGAUGACAUGGUAAUAACCUUCUUAAAUAAAUAUUUCCCAACGCAUAAGGCUAUUGUGUAAGAAGAGAAAUCUCAAGUAUUAGACAGAAACCAUUUGAGGAUUUAUAUGAUUAUUGGGAAAGAUUUAAAAGGUUGUAUACAGGUUGUCCUCAACAUGAGAUUUCAGAUAAGGCACUCAUAGAAUUCUUCUAUGGAGGCCUACUUUCUUCAGAAAGGAGAUUCAUUGAUGUAGCUUAUAGAGGAUCCAUUACAGAAAAGACAUCUAGGGAGAUGAGAGAGUUGAUCUCAACACUUGCAGUCUCAUCUAGACAAUAUGGAGAAGAAAAGCAACUGCAGAGAGAAGCCAAUGAGGUAAGUACGUCUACUCUUUCCUCUCAGAUUUCAUCACUAACCUCUGCCAUGACAAAUUUCUUCAUAGGCUAACCUCAACAAGCCCAGCCACCUAGGCCAUGUGGGAUUUGUGCAUAUGUAGGACAUCCAACUGAUCAAUAUCCUACCCUUCAAGAAGACAACCAGCAAGUCAAUGCCAUUGGAGGAUACAACAACCAGCCUAGACAUGAUCCAUAUUCUAACACAUACAACCCAGGCUGGAGAGACCAUCCAAAUAUGAGCUAUGGAAGGGCUAACAACUAUCAGAAUUACCAAAGGAAUCAAGCCCAACCAGCACCUUCAAGUUCCAACCAGCACCUUGAAAAGAUGAUGGAGACACUUGCAAACUCUGUGCAAGCUCUCCAACAACAGGUGGGACAGAUAGCCACAUCAGUGAACAAGCUUGAAUCACAAGGUAAGCUCCCUUCUCAAACUGAAAUCAAUCCUAGACAGAAUGUGAGUGCCGUUACUUUGAGAAGUGGGAAAGAGCUUCAAGAUGCGAGAUAUGAGGAAGAGAAGCAAGUUGCACAAGAGCAUGCGCAAACUGAAACCAUUCCUGCACACCACUUGCAUGAGCUAGCCAGUCGAGCUCCAUCUGAAAUGCCUCCUGCGUAGAGAGCUGAUCACUAGGUAUGUUUUUAGAUUCCACCUCCUUUUUCAAAAAGAUUUGAAAGAACUCAGAAAUAAAAAGAAGAAAAGGAGAUCCUUGAGACUUUCAGAAAGGUAGAAAUCAACAUACCUCUGUUAGAUGCUGUUAAGAAGAUUCCUAGGUAUGCAAAAUUUCUGAAAGAACUGUGUACCAAUAGAAGAAAGCUAGCUGAAAGAGAGAAAGUAAAUGUAGGUGAAGUAGUUACUGCUGUGAUUAAAAGAGAACUCCCAACUAAAUGUAAAGAUAAAGGCAUGUUUGCUAUUUCUUGUAAGAUUGGGAAUGUUGGGAUUAAGAAAGCCAUGUGUGAUCUUGGUGCAUCCAUAAAUGUUAUGCCUCUUUCCAUCUAUAAUUCUUGAAAUGCAUGUGCACUGAAAGAGACAAAAAUUGUGAUACAAUUAGCUGAUAGAUCUGUGGUAUAUCCCAUAGGUAUUCUAGAAGAUGUGUUAGUUCAAGUAGAUGAACUUGUCUUUCCUACAUAUUUUUAUGUGAUUGAUACUAAGGAAGACAGUUGCAAUUCUAGUUCUGACAUCCUUCUUGGACGUCCUUUCUUGAGUAUUGCUAGAACUAAGAUUGAUGUGCAUGAUGGUACAUUGACUAUGGAGUUUGAAGGGAAAGUCAUUAAAUAUAAUGUUUAUGAUGCUAUGAAAUAUCCACAUGAUAUGUCCCCUGUUUAUGGUCUUGAUAUUGUUGACUGCUUGAGCCAGGAAAUUUUUUAUAAAAAUCAAGAUGAUUGACUCGCAGUUGUCGAAGCCGGUAAAAAAUAACCUUUCUGGUUAUCAACAAUUUACAACUGUAGAUAGUGGUGAAAGGAUCGAAUCCACAGGGAAUUGAGAACUUACCUAUUUUCCUUAUCAAGACCAAUAAAAUAAACUGAAACAAAAAUAAACUGAAAAAGAAGAAAACUGAAAACGAGAUAAAACUGAAACCAAAUAUAAACUGAAAGAGAAAUAAACUGAAACGAGAUAAAAUAACUGAAACCAAAUAUAAACUGAAAGAGAAAUAAACUGAAACGAGAUAAAUCUGAAAGCAAAAAUAACUGAAAUGAGAUAAAACUGAAACCGAGAUAAACUGAAAGCGGAAUAAAAAUAAAUUGCAGUAAAAGUAAAAUGGGGGGUUUUGAGAUUGAUUUGAUUUAACAACUACUGAAAGCAAUUAAACAAGGAGAUAAUUAAAAUAAAGAUGAAAUCAAUAUAAAAAAAGUCUAGUUGAAGAGAUGGAUCCACUUUGGUUGUUCGGAUUGAUCAUUGAAACUUCUGUUCCUUAGGUUGAUUCAAUAAAUUAGUUAUGGAGAUGGAAGACGCUUCUCACCACCAUGUCUCUCCUUAUGAUUAAACCAAUUAGGGAACAUCCUCUAAUUAAUUACUAAUUAACAAAUUGCCAAGGAACGUCCUUGGGCCUUAGGCAUCAAACAAUUGUUAAUUGCAUGAAGAAAGAGAGAGAUCCAAUCCUAACUACUCAAACGCAUGAGAUGUUGCUAGAUCAUACAAUUCCUUAGUUAUUACAUCAAGUGUUCUUAUGUUUGAAUAAUUUCAGCAAUUACGAACUAAAAAUUAUCCAAACUAACAAUUAAUUACCUUGCGAUCAAGAAUCAAGUGGCCAAAUUGAUCAAAACAACAAAGUAAUAAUAGAAAUCAAGCAUGAACUGUAUGAAUAUUGAAUAACCAAAAGACAAACAAUAUGUGUUCAGAUCUCACAAUCCUUUAAACAACCUUAGUUUCAACUAAUCUUCAACUAGAGUAAAGGAUUCAGCCACUCAUGGCUGAAUCAAAAACCAAAAAAUAAAGAAAGGAAGAAGAAGAGAUGGUAUCAAUUGCAAUCCCGUAGGUGUGCCCAAGUGAGAGUGUAAAAGUUGUAUGGAGGCUCCUUAUGUGUCUUUUUAUAGUUAAAAGUGCUGCCCUAGGUCAUACUUGCUUCCUAGUUAGUGAAGAGGCUGCCCAAAGUGUUGAAAAGGAAAGAAUCACAUUGCAAAUUCUCCAGAAGGAAGGAGGUGCACGGAUCAGGCUUCAAAAAAGGAAGGAUGCGCGCGGAUUGCAGAAGAGGAAGUGGAGCGCAGUCAUUGAAUGCAGAUGGGAAAGUGAAUCUGUGCAGUCUUUCCUUUUUAGGUGGAGCCUUCGUUUGAAUUUUGAAUGCUGAACGCAGAAGAGGUAAGUGCGUCUUCAUGAGAUCUUGCUGCUUAAAUAGGAAGAUAUGACUGCUGCAGUGUGUGCACAUCUUUGAACAAGGAAAGAAAGAUCUGCGAUUUGAAUUUCAAAUAAUCUUCUGACUGAGCUUUCCUUAUUUGCUUUUGCUUCUGCACUUUUCUUAUUUGAAAACUUUCCUUUUCUUUAAACUUUCCUUAUUUGGAAACUUUCCUUUUUGGCACUUUCCAUAUUUGGCACUUUUUGGCAAUUUUAAGAGCAUUUUCUCCAGAUUGUCUCUUUACACCUAAUAUUUGCAAAACAUGAUUAAAACCAUAAAAUUAAGCAGAAAAGAUGCAAAUAAACAUCAAGAACAUAAUGAGAAAGUGGACUAAAAUAUGCUCUAUCAAUGAUAUUCUAAACAAUGAUUUUUGUAGGGAUACUGACCAGGUACAGAUAGAGAGUCAGAAAGAGCCAAAACCGAAGGAAACAGUCUGCAGCAUCCAACAAGUGAAUAGCAGACAACCACAAGAAGUAUAGAAAACAGUUGCAUCACUUUAGAAUGGUGCGCAGACCAUUCCUGCACAGAAAGAGGCACCUGAAAGCCUCUCAGGCGCGUCCUUUCAGCUUCCAACGCAGAACAGCCCUCCCUUUCAGUCAGGUCCUGCGCAGAAGGAUGUUCCAGAAACCAGUUCUGCCAGACAAUCCACACAGACACCCUUGCAACACCUUUCAGAAUCUGAAGAAUGUGAGAAUGGCCUCUUUGAACAAAUCUUCCAUGCCUAAUCUGAUGAACCAUGGUACGCAGACUUGGUAAACUACCUAGCCACAGGUAACUUGCCUUCUGACAUGCCAAAGCACACCAAAGACAAGAUAAAGAAAGAUGCUAGAUACUAUGUUUGGGAUGAGCCAUAUUUGUGAAAAUAUUGUGCUGACCAAAUGAUAAAGAGAUGUAUUCCAGACCAAGAAAUAGCUUCUGUGCUUACUUUUUGUUAUUCAUAUAGUUGUGGUGGACACUUUGGUCCAAGAAAGACUGCACAUAAAAUACUUGAAAGUGGCCUGUUUUGGCCCACUAUGCUUCGAGAUACUUUUCUAUUUUGCAGAUCAUGUGCUAGGUGUCAACAGACUAGAAAUCUGAGCAACAGAAAUCAAAUGCCACAGAACCCCAUCAUGGUCUGUGAGGUAUUUGAUGUGUGGGGCAUAGACUUCAUGGGCCCAUUCCCACCAUUUUUUGGAUACACCUACAUCAUUCUUGCAGUAAACUAUGUGUCCAAAUGGGUGGAAGCUAGAGCAACAAAGACUGAUGAUGCCAAGGCGGUAGUAGACUUUGUGAAGACCAACAUCUUUGCCAGACAUGGAGUACCAAAGGCAAUCAUCAGUGAUAGAGGGACCCAUUUUUACAACAAGGUAGUGGAAAGCCUUCUCAGAAAGCACAAUGUGAUCCAUAGAACAUCCACAGCCUACCACCCUCAGACAAAUGGGCAAGCUGAAGUGUCCAACAGAGAAAUCAAGGCCAUCCUAGAAAAGACAGUGUCCCCCAACCGAAAGGACUGCAGUGCACAUUUGGAAGAUGCUUUAUAGGCCUACAGGACAGCCUACAAGACCCCAUAGGUAUGUCUCCUUACAGAUUGGUCUAUGGAAAAGCUUGUCACCUUCCAGUUGAGCUUGAACACAAGGCCUAUUGGGCUGUAAAGAAUUGCAACAUAGACCUUAAAGAAGCUGGACAACAUCGCAAGUUGCAACUGCAAGAGCUAGAGGAAAUAAGACGAGAUGCAUAUGAGAAUUCUUGGAACUACAAAGCAAAAACCAAAGCCUCCCAUGACAGUCAGCUUUCAAGAAAACAAUUUGAGGUUGGUGAUAAAGUCUUACUCUUUGACUCUCGUUUGAAAUUAUUUUCAGGAAAGCUACAGUCUAGGUGGAUUGGACCAUUCAUUGUAGAGCAUGCUUAUCCACAUGGAGUUGUAGACAUUCGCAGUGAAGAGACAUAAAAAAUCUUCAAGGUGAAUGGCCAUCGCCUGAAACCUUUCUAUGAAGGAUUUGCAGUGCAAGUAGUGGAAGAAAUUCCACUACAUCAACCAUCUCAGUCUGCCUAGUUAUCACACCAUGCACACCACACCCCAGGAGAGUACUCAGUUUCCUUUGUUCUUUAUUUUCCUUAUACAUUGAGGACAAUGCAUGAUUUAGGUGUGGGGGUGCAUAUCUCUCCUUCUUCUUCUCCUUCUCCUUUCAGUUCUGCGAAUUUCCUUUCAGUUUCUGCGAAAAUUUUUUCUUUUGAAUUGCGAUUUUUCUUUCAGUUUUUCCUUUCAGUUUUGCGAUUUUCCCUUUUGCUUCAGUUCAUGCGAUUUUUAGUUUUCUUUCAGUCUGUUUUAGUUUAUGUUUUCAAUAACACACACAACCACAACCUUCUUCUUCUUGAUGUGCUCUAUUCAAACUGAUAGACUAUGUUGAUGAGCUUUUCUUUCCAUGACCCCAUUGAUGUGAUAACUCUUUAAACUUAUAUUGAAUCAAUUGCAGUGAGUUAUAUUCAUGUUUGAGAAUUGCCUUUUGAAUUGAACCUUUGAGCUUGUCAUGGUGAAAAAUAUAUUGAUGACACUCAUUAGAGAGAAUGAAUUGAAAGUUGUGUGAAUGAACUUAACAUGACUUGAUUUAGCAAUUGGUGUUGAUUUGUCCAAAUCAUUGAUUAAAGAAAUUCAGCAAAGGCUUAGACUUCAUAAGCACAAUUGAAAAAUGUUCCAAUGGUUGAAAGACUAUGAACAGAGCUAGUAGCCACUUAGACAGGUGACCAAUUGAGUAACUGGGGGUGGGUAUCACCAAUAUGUACCUUCACAUCAAAAGGUUGGUGACUUUUUCAAGCAAAACUUAAGUGCAAAAUGCUGAAUAAAGAACUUCAAGGUAAGGGCAAAUCACUCUGAAAGCUAGAAAAAGUAUUAACUGAACAAUAACAUGUGCAUGUGUAAUCUCUCUCUUGAGGAAAACAAAUCCUAGCCAUGGUAAGUAAAGGGAAACAAGGAAAAAAGGUGAGUAAUCUUCAUGCAUAUAUUCUUCACUGCAAUGAUUCAAAAUAGGUGUCUUGAGUAAGAGCUUAAUUGGAAAUAAGGAUCAAGUAGCAAAGAAAGCUUAUUUGACUAUGUUUAUUUGCUUGAGGACAAGCAAAAGGCCAGGUGUGGGGGUAUUUAAUAGAGCAUAUUUUAGUCCACUUUAUCAUUAUGUUCUUAAUGUUUAUUUGCAUCUUUUUUGCCUAAUUUUGUGGUUUUAAUCAUGUUUCACAGAUAUUAGGUGUAACGAGACAUUUUGGAGAAAAUACCCUUAAAACUGCCUUAAAUGGAGCAAAGGAGAGCAAACCUACCAAGUUGAAAUCAAGUGAAGCUAAAUAAGGAAAGUUCUAAAUAAGGAAAAUGGCAAAUAAGGAAAGAACAUUCAGCCAAAGCAAUUUGAAAUUCAAAUUUCAAAUCUCCAAGUAGCCACCUCCUUAUUCAAGAAGCCAAAUCUCAAGUUGCCAUAAAUGAAGAAGCCAAAUAAGAAAAGUAUUUUGAAUUUCAAAUCUUCAAGAUUCAUAUUCAAAUUUUGAAUUUCAAAAUCCAGCUUAUUAAGGAAGCUAAAUCCAAAGAUCACAUGCUUGCCACCUCAUGCCUUGCACAUUCAAAAUUCAAAUUCCAAAAGAAGGCUCCACCUUCCUUAUUUGUGCAUGGGCGGCAAGGAAGGUGUGAAGAAGCUUCUUGGGCAGUUUGGGCAGCCACCUAAGAUCAACAUGGGCAGCAAGUAAGGGCAAGGACCACAACUCUUGCACAAGCCACACAUGCCACACGCCUCUCCCUUCACUUAUGCAUGGGGGGCAAGACAAGAAGUUCAAGGGCAAUUUGGGCGGCCUCUUGAAGACAGAUGGACAGCAAGGAAACCCUAGGACAGUAUCUGAAAAACAUAUUUAAGCUCUCCUUAAGCCAGCCACCCAGGACCCCGAUCCCUUCUCUUCAAUUCGGCCAAGGCAAGGAAGGCUCUCCAAGGCUCCACCUACAGUUCUUCUUCAUCUUUUGCUCUUUUCUUUUUAUUUUCUAUUUUGUUUCAGCCAUGAGUGGCUGAAACCUUUAAUUCUAGUUGAGGAUUGGUUGAAACUAAGGUUGUUUUAUGGAUUGUGAGAUCUGAACACACAUUGUUUGUCUUUUGGUUAUUCAAUACUCAUACAAUUCAUGCUUGAAAUCUAUUAUUACUUUGUUAUUUUGAUCAAAUUGGCCACUUGAUUCUUAAUUGCAAGGUAAUUAAUUGUUAGUUUGGAUAAUUUUAAGUCCGUAAUUGCUUGAAUUAUUCAAACAUAAGAACACUUGGUGUAACAACUAAGGAAUUGUAUAAUCUAGCAACAUCUCAUGUGUUUGAGUAGCUAGAAUUGGAUCUCUCUCUUUCUUCAUGCAGUUAACAAUUGUUUGAUGCCUAAGGCCCAAGGACGUUCCUUGGCAAUCUGUUAAUUAGUAAUUAAUUAGAGGAUGUUCCUUAAUUGGAUUAAUCAUAAGGAGAGACAUGGUGGUGAGAAGCGUUUUCUAUCUCCAUAACUAAUCUAUUGAAUCAAUCAAAAGAACAUAAGUUUCAAUGAUCAAUCCAAACAACCAAAGUGGAUCCAACUCUUCAACUAGACCUUUCUCAUAUUUGAUUUCUCUUUUAUUUACAUUAUUCGCUCAUUUAAUUGCUUUCAGUAGUUGCUAAUCAAAUCAAUCUCAAAACCUCCCAUUUUACUUUUAUUGCACUUUAUCUUUAUUCCGCUUUCAAUUACUCGCUUUCAGUUGCACUUUCAAUUAAUUCUCUUGGUCUUGUUGAGAAAAAUAGAUAAGUUUUCAAUUCUUUGUGGAUUCGAUCCUUUACCACUAUCUGCAGUAGUAAUAUUGUUGAUAACCGGAAAUGUUAUUUUUGACCGGCUUCGACAACCGCGAGUCAGGAGGAGAGCUCUUGCUUUGGUUUUGGGACUCUCCCAAACUAUAGCAAGAAGAGGAUUUAAAUUCCUCUUUCCUCUUUUUUUUACUAGUAGGCCCCACACAUUUUUUUUGUUUUAUUCAGGGUUUCAAAUUUAUGUUGGCAUUAGGAGUUGGGAUUUAAAUUUGUGAUUGUACAAAGCUCGUGAGUUCUAAAAUAUAAAGGGUGAAGUCCAAAAUUAAGGCUGUUUUCUAAGAAGUUUAUUUUUCAAAAAGUAACUUUCUUAUCUCUAGGUAAGUAAGUUACUUAUCUUAAAGUGAAGGAAGUAGCUUCUUCAAGUUCCUAGAAAGUUGGGAGAAAAUGCCAACCAAACAAGUUGAAUAUAUCAACUUUCUGGAACCCCAACCAAAAGGUCCAAAACUCACCAAAUGAAACAUGCCUCGAAUAUUGAGAUCGACCAUAUUUCAUAUUAUAAGUCUUGAAUUUGGUCCAUGUUCGAGUGUCAGAUUUUGGAAAUCAAUUCAUAAUCGAGUAAUUUGAAUGUAGACUAUAUUAGUUAGGAUUCAACAUGUAGAAUUCUUCUCUUCUACAAAAAAAUUUUUCUCAAUCUUUUUUUAUUAUGUUAGUUUAAAAGUAAAAUUAAAAGUUUAUUUGAUUUGUUAAUCUUAAUCAUUGUAUGAUUUUAAGAGAUCUUUUUUUAAUUAAAAUGGUAGAAAUAUUACUCAAUAGGAUUGAGAAUUAUCUCCUAAAUGAAGUACAUCUUCUAUUUAUUGUAUUAUUUAAAAAUUAAAUUAAUUUCUAAUUAAAUUAAAAUUGAAUGAUCUAAUAUUAUAAAUAGUAGUACUAUAGAGAUGUUAUUUGGUUACAUGGAGAAAGGGAACAAGAGGCUUUAGCCUAAGCUGAAAAAUAGAUAUCUUAUUCACAAUGAAUGAAUUAUUAUUUUUCAAUAAGGGGGCUAUUAUCUAUGUAAUUGAAGACACUCUUUCAUGAAUUUAAGAGAAAUCCUUAUUGAUUCUCAAAAGUUAAUGAAUUGAGUUGAUGCACAAUGUAUAUAUACACAACUGAGUUGGAGUUAGUUACAAUGGAUAACAAAGAACACGUGAGCUAAACUUAACUCUAACUAAUCUUCGGGCCACUAUUUUUAACUAAUUCUAUAUGGCUUAACACCCCUUCCCUUUCCCCCUACAAGCUGGAGAGUAUAUGUUGAUGAGUCCUAGUUUGGAAAUAAUCUAUUGAAAUAAACUAAAUAGUAGUGGCUUAGUGUAGACAUUAGCUAACUAGGUAGCUGAAGGAAAAUGUAGCAAUUUAAUAAGGCCUACAAGUAACUUUUCUUAGAUCAAAUGGGAGUCUAUCUCUAUAUGCUUUGUUUGUUCAUGAAAUGUUGGAUUAAUUGUAAUAUGAAGGGUUGAUUUGUCGUCAUAAUAGAGAAGAGCAGGUUGAGAAUGGCUAACCUGAAAAUCUUGAACCAAAUAGGUUACCAUUGAAUUUCACAAGUGGUUGCAGCCAAGGCUAAUACCCAGCUUUUGAGGAAGAUCUUGAAACACAAUUUUGUUUCUUAGCCUUCCAAGAGAUUAAGGAAGCGCUAAGAAAUAUGCAAAAACCUGUGAUGGACAUUAUGGAAUCAAUGCAACCUACCUAAUCUAAACCACUGAAGCCUUUUAGCUACAGAUCUGAGUUUGCUGAUGAUAACCCAAAGGGCUUGACAAUAAAUCUACCCACAUAAAGCCCAGUCAUAUAAACCCAUAAGGCUAAACAAACCCGAACUAAGUAAGUAGAGCCCAAAUAUCAUGUAAGCAAGCAUACAACCCAUACACGCCCGAUAUAGGGCAGUGAGAUAGCUCGCCCAUAAGCCCCAUAAUCAAGGAAAGGAGGGCCCACUCCAGAUUCACCUGGCACACACACCAGACUAGCCGCAUGCACACAAAGAAUCUUCAAUAUAAAGGAAUAUAAUAGGAAUGAAGAGGGGAUCCAUGAUUUGAUCGCAAACAUAGCUUUAAGCACCAAAAAAACCCUACCAUUAAAAUUUUAUUGACUCCUCAAAGUAUCAGCUAGAAAGAAUAAGCUUGCACUAGGAGAACCUUUUAUGUAUCUCAAUACUCAAUGAACUGCUUGCAAAUGGGAAAAAGUGGGACAGUAGAAAUUGAUUGAGUUAUUGAACAAUAAAGGCAAUGUCAAGUCUUGUGGAUGUUAAAUACAACAACUUCCCUAUUAGCUUCCUAUAUUGAUGAAUAUCUUCCAAUGGAGUGCGAGUUGACUUACUUAAUUUCAACUUGCAAUCCAUAGGAGUGUGCUGAUUUAGAUUCUAAGAAACUAGUGUUAUUCACUAUGUCAAGUGCAUACUUCCUUUGGUUAAGAGAUAUACCAGUAUCCUUUUAGCCACUUCAAGUCACAAAAAAAAUUUUGAGUUUCCUAAAGUCUUCUAUUUUAAACUGUUGCUGGUCUAUAGAAUUACAUCAUUUACAUAGACCAGCAACACAGUGAUGCCAUCUCUAUGUGUUUUGACAAAUAAUAAGUAAUUUGAAAUAAACUGUUUGUAUCCUAGACAAAUGAGAGCAGUAGAGAGUUUUGAAUACCAAUGCCUACUGGCUUGCUUAAUGCCAUAUAGUGAUUUCUUCAAAUGACUAGCUUGAUUGUGUUUAGAGCUAUGAAAUCCUUAAGAAAGUUCAUGUAUACUUUUUCAUGAAUAUUUCCAUAUAAAAAAAGCAUUAUUAAUAUCAAGCUAAUAUAAAUACCAUUUGUUAGAAGCUGCCAAAGCUAACAAGAGUCAAAUUGUAAUAAUUGCCAUAGGGGAGAAUGUAUCAAAGUAAUCCACUCCUUUUGUUUGGGUGCACCAUUUGGCUACUAAGCAUGCCGUGUACCUCUCUAUGGAACCAUCAGCUUUGUAUUUUAUCUUAAACACUCAUUUGUAGUCUAUAGGUGUAACUCCAUUAGGUAGGUCAGUGACUUCCUAAGUAUGAUUCUAUUCUAAAGUUAUAAUUUCAGCUUUCAUAGCUUGUUUUUAGCAAUCAUGCUUAAUAGCUUGAUUGUAUUUCUUUGGCUCAGUGGUAACAUAAAUGGAUAAAGUGAAGUGUUUAUGCUUAAGGGAAAGAUGAUCAUAAGAGAGGAUAGAAGAAUGGUGAUGUGGAGAGGAUACAUUUAAGUAGGUUAAAGAAACAGUUGAGUUAUGUAUGAGAUUACAAUGAUAAUCCUGUAGGUAAGAAGGUAGUUUUCUAGGUCGAAAGGAACGUCUUGUAGAUAUAUCAAUCUGUGUUGGUGAAGCAAUAUUGGUAGGGGGAGAAGAGUCAUAUGUAUCAUCAUAGUUUGGAAUGGUAUGAUCUUGAGGUAAAGGCAUUAGUGUUGGUGUAUUAAUGUCAUGAAAUGGAAACAAAUGUUCAUAUAAGAGUACAUGUCUAUAGAAAAAAAUAGAUCUAGAUUGUAAAUCUAGAAGUACAUAUCCUUUGAUUGCAUGCUUAAAACCUAUAAAGACAUAAGUCAAACUUGGAUCUGCUGGCAUUAAGUGUUGAGUCAAAGCAUAAAGACCCAAAAGCCUUCAAAUCAUCAUAAGUAGGUGGAUGAGAGAAUAACAACUCAUAAGGAGAUUUAUUCUCAAUGAGAACUAGGAAUUCUAUUGAUCAAGUGAAUCGAAUGAAGAAUAGAAUAAGACCAAUACUCAAGAGGCAAUUUAGAUUGGAACAUAAGAGAUCUGAUAACAUUUAACAAGUACUGAUGUUUUCUCUUUACUGUCCCCUUCUGUUAGGGAGUUUCUACAUAGGACCUUUGAUAGAUUAAUCCUUUAGCAGCAUAAAAGAUAGGCAUAUUAAAUUCCACAACAUUAUCACUUCUAAUGAUUUUAAUUUUAGUAGAAAAUUGGGUUUCUAUAAGGUUGAAAAAUUCUGAACAUAAGCUUUUGCAUAUGCUUUAGUUUUCAAAAGAAAGAUCCAAAUGUACUUUGUAAAAUCAUACAUAAAAAAAA
rnacentral:lncRNA from 1 species